rnacentral:rRNA from 1 species
UACGGAGGAUGCGAGCGUUAUCCGGAUUUAUUGGGUUUAAAGGGUGCGUAGGCGGGAUGCCAAGUCAGCGGUAAAAAUGCGGUGCUCAACGCCGUCGAGCCGUUGAAACUGGGGGCCUUGAGUGGGCGAGAAGAAGGCGGAAUGCGUGGUGUAGCGGUGAAAUGCAUAGAUAUCACGCGGAACCCCGAUUGCGAAGGCAGCCUUCCGGCGCCCUACUGACGCUGAGGCACGAAAGUGCGGGGAUCGAACAGG